GUUCCUUUUGAACGUUUUAUUCAACUCAAAAUAAAAACAUUCUGUGUAAAAUUUACAUUUACAUACAAUAUUUAAUAUUUAGGUUUAUCAUUUGACUUGUUUAUUUCAAAGAACUUCCUAAUAAUAAAUAUCAUUAACGAUUUCGAACCGAGUCAUUAGACUUCUUCAAACCCAAGCGGGUGGAACUGCGGACGACCGCACCGGACGUUGGCAAACCUAUGCGUGGCGUCAUUUUCUCUCGCAAUUUUAUAUCGUACGAUAUUUUGCUCUCUUGAUUCGGUACGCGCGAUCCCCCGCCCUCUUUACCCCUCAUCCAGUAAACCGAACCGCGUGCUUGUUCACUCACAACGAUCUCAGCGGGAAAACCUCUCUCGAUCACGAUAUACCUACACAGCACAGCCUGGCCCGGUGCGCGGUUUUGCCGUUGUUGAUGUGGGGGGAUGGUGGAUAUGCGGCGAACAUUCUCUUUUCUCUCGCAUCGAUUUUCUCGACCGCGUUUCUUCAGGCCGUGCCGAUGCCGACAAGAGCAACAUUAUUCUCGGUCACCUUUUCACUUCUCAGACAUCAGUAUUCGAGUGCGGUGGCGUGUUUUUCCUCCUCGUCGUCAAGUCGUUAUUGCCUACCAUUUGUGACAGGUCGAGUGCAUUUUUUAAUUGUUUCAACGAGAUAACGCAGUGAAAUUAACGUUAUUUCGUGCAAGCCAACCAAUUUAUCUGUUCCCCCGCGGUAGCAACAGAGCGAGCAACAGCAGCAGCAGUGCCAUCCAGAGAAAGCGUGAACACUUGCCAAAUUGUUGCAAAAGCAGUUAAUCAGCGUUUGUCAAAAGCUGAUUCAGAACAUUUUGGAGAAAGACUGGCGAAGAAGACGGAGACACGCCGGUUCCGCCGCCAGAAGAGUGCAUAACAACAAUACAACAGAUUCUGCUAACGAACGGUGUCGCCGGGAAGCGAAGUGGAGGAGUUAUCAGUGCGAAUUUCACGAGACGAGAGAGUGUCAGUCCAUCAGGGGAAAAAAGUGUAAAGAGAGUGUGAGCGAAACGUUCCCCUCGCGUCGCGAGUAAAUAAGUACAAGUCAACGCCGUGAAGAAGGUUUAGUUUGAAGCUGUGCUUCAACGCGUUCAGAUCGUGUGAAGAUAUUCUCAGAAGGAGAGCUGUAAUCUCACAAAUCAGUGGUUUGAUCCCUUGACAACAGCUUCCUAAGCGUAGCUGAAAAAUCAACGGAAAAGUGUGUAAAAUUACUACCAAUCCCGUGUUUUUACUAGCAAAGGAUCACUAAAAGCGAUCGAAAGCAAAAACAAGUGAUAACAAAGUGCAUCGGCGAGUAGUGAAGAUCAAUAACAACUGUUUCGUUGCGCACCCUGAUAAAAAAGUGGUGUGAUCCAGUCGCGGAAGCCGAAGUGUGUGUAUAGGGAGCUUGUUUGGGAAGAGAGCCACAAUCAUCAUCAGUGAGUGUUGGUUGGCGAGAAAUACUGAAGAUCCUUCUGUCUGUUCAAGAAUCUGAUCUGAAGCGUUGCAGUGUGCUGAGGAGUUCAGUCGUCUUCUGGACUUGCUAGUGAGAAGGUGUUCUUAAGAUUGCUGAUUAGUGCGGAGGAUCCUUUACAG